rnacentral:rRNA from 1 species
GAUGAACGCUAGCGAUAGGCUUAACACAUGCAAGUCGAGGGGCAGCAUGGUCUUAGCUUGCUAAGACUGAUGGCGACCGGCGCACGGGUGCGUAACGCGUAUGCAACUUGCCUCACAGAGGGGGAUAACCCGUCGAAAGACGGACUAAUACCGCGUACACUCCAUCUUUGGCAUCCAAGUUAGAGGAAAUGAAAUUCGCUGUGAGAUAGGCAUGCGUCCCAUUAGCUAGUUGGUGAGGUAACGGCUCACCAAGGCGACGAGGGGUAGGGGAACUGAGAGGGUGAUCGGAGAAAGUAGAAGUGAGAUAAGGUCAAGACUGCUAGGGGAGGCAGAAGGAUGGAAGCGUACGAAAUGGGUGGAAGUUUGAUGUAGAAAAUACGCGUGAGUGAGGAAGGUCUUGGGAUCGGUAAACUCUGCUAGUAGGGAAGAAAAAAUGUGUAACUAACCAUGCACGUCCUGAAGGUACAUUAGCAGAAAGCCACGGCUAACUACGUG